GCGCCGCGGGGGUUACAGGGUGUACACGAGUAGGAACGCAAACUGUCUCGUAACCAGGGGUUACCACCACCGACGCAGCGGAGCCUCCAUGAUGUUGCGGAGCUUGAAGGUGUCGGACUCCACCUCAAAGCAGCUCGUUGUUGAUCCUCUCGAUGUGGAUGUCGGCCCACAGCACGUCGUUGUAGCCGUUGACCGUGUCGAUGACGCUGUUGUACAGGCCGUACAGCUUCUGCAGCAGGGUCAGCUGCUUGCGGAUCUCCAGCAGCUGGGGGUGGUGGGUCACAGGCAGCCCGAACAGCUCCUCGCCGCCCGUGUACGUCUGGUACUUCCUGAACAGGUUGUCGAAGCGGUUCUGGGGGGACGGGGGUCAAGUUGAAUGCAAUAAGUGUUUCUCGCGAACGAUUCAAGGAUGCAAAACAUCCGAAAUCAACAGCUGCUCAGAACAAGCUCCACAAAUCUGCACAUUCCCACACACCGUUGCGUUAUACUAUAAGUGUCCGAAAUUAAGACUUUCAAGGAGAAGAAGUGCUCCAUUUACCUGGGACAUGAUGAGUCUGUCGCUGGCAUCCUGGGGAGCUAAUCCCACUGCCAUGGGCCCAUCCUGCAAGGCCCCGGGACGACACAAGGCCACAUUAGCCGGUU
ensembl:lncRNA